UUUGGCGCGUUGCGUCCGCGGAUUCCCCUGCCCGGUGCAGCCGACCGCGGGCGCAUCGCGCGUCUCGUUCGUCCCCCGCGACUCGACGGCUUGGAGGGCUCACUCGGUGCGGUCUGUGCUUCGUAGCCGGAAUGCGGCAACCUCGCGACCCGAUGACCGGACGUCGGCUCUCCCCUCCCUCCGGGGCGGCGGCGAGCCGACCGGCUGCGGCGCCCCGUGCGUCCCCCUGCGCUGCUCUCGG
rnacentral:misc_RNA from 1 species